UACGUAGGGUGCAAGCGUUAAUCGGAAUUACUGGGCGUAAAGCGUGCGCAGGCGGUUUUGUAAGUCUGACGUGAAAUCCCCGGGCUCAACCUGGGAAUUGCGUUGGAGACUGCAAGGCUAGAAUCUGGCAGAGGGGGGUAGAAUUCCACGUGUAGCAGUGAAAUGCGUAGAGAUUUGGAGGAACACCGAUGGCGAAGGCAGCCCCCUGGGUCAAGAUUGACGCUCAUGCACGAAAGCGUGGGGAGCAAACAGG
rnacentral:rRNA from 1 species